GUUCUUAGUUCAGUGGUUUGCUGUUGGCAUUCACCUAUGUAUUUGCCAAUUUGUCUCUCAGGAGAGAUCUACGUCCAGUUCCUGUCAGCCUGAACUUCUUUGCUUCAUCCAUCUUAUCUAGUUUGGUGGCUGUAUAUGUAUGGGCCACAUGUGGGGAAGGCUGUGAAUUGGCGUUCCUUCAGCCUCUGUUCUAAACUUUGCAUCCCUUUCCCCUCCUAAGGGUAUUCUUGUCCCCCUUUUAAAGAAGGAGUG
rnacentral:lncRNA from 1 species